GGCUUCGUGUGGUCAUCUUGAAAGCACUCUGUGACAUUCGUGUUGAGCAAGAAGAUAUCAGGAACUAUAUUGACAACUCGCUUAAACAAGGUGUUCAACUUUCAGCAUUUCGCAAAGAACGUACGGGGGGUGAUUCACACGGAAUGUUUUACUGGUAUGAAGAUGAUCCUAUAAUUGGCCAUCGUUUAUAUCGGGAG